rnacentral:pre_miRNA from 1 species
CGCGACUCCGACGGGUCCCCUACUUAAAGUUCGACGUAGUGAGCCCGUUGGAGUCGGGCU